rnacentral:lncRNA from 1 species
CUAGAUGCAAGAGGGACAUCAGUUCCUGCCAGCAGAUCCUCUCCCGCAAAAGGGAGCCCUUCAUGGUUGGGGCAGAUAAAAUAAGGGAAGGUUUUUGGCUGCUUUUCAAGAAAUAUCUAUUGAGGCAGACACCAAACAGCACUGGAGACAGAAGAGGAUAACAAGACAGGUGUGCUCUUACGUAGUUCAUGGACAUGUUCCAGGACGCUUCUACAAGUUGGGCAGCACCUGAGGGCAUAGCAGUCAAUAAAAUGGAUGGAACUCAUGCUCGUGGGAGGAGACUGCACAUAAAACAAGUAGAACAUGCGGUGAAACCACUGAGGUAAAUCCGCGGCCCUGAGAGGGCUACACUGAAGUUGAGACCUGCAGGAAGUGGGCUCCACGACUCCAGGGAGCACAAGAGACAAAUUCUCUGCCUGGAACAUUCUGUGAUCUUGAUCUACGGUAGCUGGGAGAGAUAAAAUUAAUUGUGGUAAUGUUUAGGACAACAUUUUCUAAGCUUAAAUGGUCUAUAAAUAGAGGGUGUUUUCAGUAAAUUACACAUAAGACUAUUAGCAAGAACAAGAUCAUAUAUCAGCAUUAUGAACGGAUAUUAAACAACAGUACAAUUAGGAAAUAUAAUGUACAACCUAAUUGUCCACUGUGUAUGAAAUCAGAAAAAUUGUGGUUAGUCCCCGCCGCCAAAGGGAAAACCCUUGAGGUUUCAGCUUGGGGGUCCACUUGUUUUUUUUGUGGUAAGUAGGGUAUAAUCAGUACUUGUGGGUAUAAAAAUUAUGUGCUCUGGGAAGCCAGAUGAUGUUGCAGAGAAAUCAUUUGCAAACCCAUGAGUUAUUUGUAAAUUGAUGGGGC